rnacentral:lncRNA from 1 species
CGGCCUUGUGUUAGAAAUGUCCCGCGGGACUGAGUUAGUGGUCGAGUCGUUUUUGGUAAUUGACACCCGUCGCAUUAGUUUCUAUUCAUAUGUUACCAUUCAUAGUGAAGUAGCCCUCUUUUUGAUGUCUUUGUGCCUUAUUCUAUCUAUCAAAGUCCUUCUUUGUCUAUAGCUCGGGUCAGUCCCCCACGGUCUGCUUUGAUUUUAUCGGGCAGUGCCGGCCCGCAUC